UUUUUUCACCUGCGUGCACCCGCCGGUGGCCGCUUCCCCCAGCUCGGGCUAGGGCGCCGCGCCGACGCGGAUGAGAGGGAGCGGAGAGGCCGGCGUGUUGAGAGAGGGAUUCGUGCUGCAACCACGUACGUCCUGCCGGCGGCCGCUUGCUCCGGUACGCGCUCUGGCGUCGCUCCGCAGCGCCUCGGGAGACGAGGCCAAACACUAGGCGCGUAGUCAGUGGAGGUAGCGGUGGCGCUCAGCGGAAGAGGAGGCAGCGAUCCUUAGGCCUUCGGCCGUUCCAUUGACUAGAGCCACUUGCUCCGGCGCGCGCUCUGGCGCCGCUCCGCCGCGCCUCGGGAGACGACAGACGAGGAACGGCCAAACACUAAGCGUGGCCAGUGGAGGUAGCGGUGGCACUCAGUGUAGGAGGAAGCGGCGGCCCUUAGGGCAGCGGCCGUUCCAUUGGAGAGAGGGACCAGGAGUGCGGGACGAACGACGCACACACACUACACACCCACGAAUACAACACACGAACGAUCGAACAGCUACUACCGGAUGAUGACAUAUGCAUACUAAAACCUCAGUCUGACAGUCUAAUACUAGAUACGUGAACUCCUUUCCCUAAUACUACAACGACUUAACCCUCAGGAGAAAGCGCUUCGGUCUUCAAACCACAACCCCUAAAGUUCGGGGAAUGAAUUAAACAAAGUUAAAACCAAUCGUCGCUAAAUGGACACGUGGUUCAAACUCACCUUAUGUAAAAAGGUAAGUUCUUUUUGAACCACCUAAUUAAACAAAAUAGGCCGCUCGUGGUCACUACCACGUGCUACUGCCCGAAUGACCUGGUCUUCUAUAGACAUGAGAAGAGUUACCACGUUUCAACUCCACAAGAGUUUAGAGUAACCGGAUAAAAUAAAAUGAUGACUGAGAACUUACGAGAGAAAAAAGACUAAACCAACAGAGAGAUAAGAAUACAAGAAAUGAAGGUUAAAGUUGAAAGGUUCCUAAAUCAAUUUUUUUAAGUUCCUAACAAGAAGAGUACGGAAGACAACGGACAAGUUCCUAACACGACGUUAAACCCCUCUCUACCUCUUGUACCUCGGAACCCGUCGAAUCCAUUUAGGAAGGAAUUCGCGUCAACGGAAGACCAGGUAUCCAUUUAGUACUUUGUUUUGUAACAACGAACAAGUUGUAAAAGGACUACUUCAUUCUACCAGACGUACAAUUGUCAACUUCUUAUAUUUUAUCCCUACCAAAAACUAAACUACCAAUUUUGUUACAAUUUUAUACUAACAAAACACGAGCGAAGUCUAUAAUUAGGUCAAUCCGAAGUACCAUAUACUUACGUGUUCGAAAAAUUCUCCCGGUUUUCUCUUUUACCUUUUGAUAAUGUAUACAGAAAGACAGGUUUGUUAUAUUUAGCUCUAAAGAUAGAACGGUUUUGAAGAAUAAUAACGCAAGUAAAAGAAGGUUAACAAAUGUACAGUGGAGAAACAACCAACAACCAACCACGGUUCCGGUAAUCUUUUCUCAUUACGGAGUUUGUUCCAACAAGGCUCCUAUCUUGAGUCCCACCGAUGGUAGCUACUACGAUCGGUCGUUCGAGGACCCACUGAUGAGCUACGGCUGCUAACAACCAAAGGAAGUACCGAUAACAUUUUACCACGAAGUAUAUAGUGUACGAGAAAUAACCCUAGAAAUAACCGUUCGAUCGUAGUGAAGUGAAAACAAGUAAAGAAACCCCCAACGUUCUUUGUAUACGAUUACCAAUACCUGUAUACUCGUUUAUUCUCUUCAAUGUUACAACGUUGAUAAGAGUCAAUACUCUUAUGACUUUACCUAUAUCUGACUACUCUACUACAAGUAUGUACAACUUCGUCCAAAGACUUUCUUCAUUACCCAUAUCUGGAUUGAUACUAGUAGGACAACUAUCCUGUAAGAGUAUCUAGCAAAAAAGAACAAGACCAACUCUAUAUAAUUUCAGACACAUGGGUACUUUUUUCUUCUAUGAAGUUUAAAACAUACAUCAUGAACCACAUACACACGAGUACUCCACAGGUCCAUGAGUACUACAUUGUAAUCUAAAAACAAUACAAGAUUAAAAGAAUGGGAGCGUCAUGGUUGAUACAUAUGUCAUGAGGUUCUGACGAUCGCGUAACUGAAAAGAAACUUAACAAAGAAGCACUUUCAUGGUAAAUAGAGACUAUAACACACUACUAGUGACUUAUUGAAUUUAUGGAAAAGUCAUUACUGAGACCUAUUUCUGCUUUAUCUCUUGUAUUAGAACCACCUCCGUAGAGUUACCUCUACCCUUUCACAACGUCUUCACCUAAAUAACCCAACCCCUUUAUCUUUUUUCUUUAGAACGAACCAAAAACAUAAGAGAAGGACUACAUAAAAAAUACAUAAUAGCCGUACCUUAUCUACUAGGGAGAGUGAAUUCAACUAUAACAACAGAAUAUGUAAUACAAAGUGAAGAGGUGUUAGUACG
rnacentral:rRNA from 1 species